GACGGAGGGUGCUAGCGUUGUUCGGAAUCACUGGGCGUAAAGGGCGCGUAGGCGGCACAUGGUGUCGGAUGUGAAAGCCCGGGGCUCAACCCCGGAGGUGCAUCCGAAACUCAUGGGCUGGAGGUCGGAAGAGGAGGGUGGAAUACCCAGUGUAGAGGUGAAAUUCGUAGAUAUUGGGUGGAACACCGGUGGCGAAAGCGGCUCUCUGGUCCGAACCUGACGCUGAGGCGCGAAAGCGUGGGGAGCAAACAGG
rnacentral:rRNA from 1 species